AAUUCUUUACUGUUAAUAUUAAAGAUUACUGAGUUAUCAAGGGGUUAGCGGCUUGUUUUGUUUAGCAGAUGUUUCCAUGGCGCGGGCGGCUCUUGGGGGGGGCGGUCGUUUGGGAGUUUUUCUUUCUUCUCGUUGGUAAAGAUAAAAGCAUACAGCAUAGUAUUGAAAGAGCAACAGGUUAGCCAUUCAUCUGUGCACUUUUUAGAUAUUAAGAUAGAAGUAAGAAAAAAGAAUUUAGACACCAGUCUACAGAGAACCAGCCUGAGAGCCUGUUAUUAUACCCAGGUGGUCUCAGACCCAAUUACAUAGAAAAUGUCAGUGUUUAAUUAUUAUUUUAGGAGGACCAACACUUAUAUCACCAACAAAUAUGACAUGAAAAAAGAGGUCAAUUAUAUUUAUGAAAUAGGAUGGCAGUAUGGAUACAGUAGACGUUUUUUAGAAGCAAUCUAUUGUAAAGUACAGCAAUCCUCUUCAGGUAGAAAAAAGCUGCUGAAGAACCAAAAGACAGAGAUUACAAACCAGUCCCAUAUGCAAUGAAAAAUUACAAUAUUACUAAAAAAAAUUAGUUAAAAAAGGGUAAUACAAAAUUAACUUAUAAACGAGUCCUGACAUUGUUCAACCAACUUAGAAAUGAAAAAGACCUAAAGGAGAACAAACAGCAAUCUGGGGUAUAUAAAAUAUCUGUUAAGAAUAACACAAUAGGCCAGAAUGAAACAUACAUAGGCAUAAUAACAAAGUCAUUAAACCAAAGACUCUGCGAGCAUAAAAGAGACGUUGCUAAUAAAAAAUUUAAUAUGGCCUUGGCAAUAUAUGCUUACAAAAAUGAUGUGGAAGUGAAUUGGCAGAAAGCUGAAAUAAUACAAACUAUAAGAAAAGAUGAGCAUGCGACCCUAGCUGAAACCAUGGAAAUCUUUACCAAUGAGAAGAGGGAGAGGCUCCUAAAUGGCCGCUCUCCCCAGGAGUUGCCCGUGCCGUGGAGGUGUCUACUGAACGAAAUGAGCAGAU
rnacentral:lncRNA from 1 species